UAUAAUAGUUUUUGACAACAGAACCUUAAUAAUGUUUAAACUUAUAAUUUAAAUUAAUUAUAUUCGAAUUUCUACUAUUGCGGGAUCACUAGUCUGUAUAAACUUGUGUAUUAUACAACUAUAAUGUAUAUUUAUGUACAUAGAGUUCAUAAGCGACCUGCUUUGGCUUCGCACGAUUGAACAGGAUAUUGUUCACUAUUAUACAGUCUUUCUCUCCAAAAGCAACAAUCUUCCUAUUUCAUCUCAACAAGGGUAAAAUUUUGAAAAACACCGAUAAAAGUGUACGUUUAUUUCUAACCAUAAGCAGCUGUGUAUAUCGAAUUCGUUACUUUGAAAAUGACAGACUUCCAUACAGCCCUUCAUCUCGUAUUUUACUCCCUAAAGAGUAAUAUUUCCAAAACUCUUUCCUUGGUGAAUGUUUACAAGAUAAAAGGCAUCAGAUGCCAAAUUUCAAGUUUGUAGCCCCAGCGGCUUGGGCUCUACGUUCAUGAAUCAGUCAUUCAGUCAGAACAAACAUGGACAUGUUUUAUAGAUAGCAUACAUACACCAUGCAAUUAAACUAAGCAUAAUUUAUUUUCAUCUUUGAACUUAACUUGAAAUCUGUUAAUAUUAAAACGUACUGAAACCUU